UACGUAGGGGGCAAGCGUUGUCCGGAAUCAUUGGGCGUAAAGAGCGUGUAGGCGGCCUGGUAAGUCCGCUGUGAAAGUCCAGGGCUCAACCCUGGGAUGCCGGUGGAUACUGUCGGACUAGAGUACGGAAGAGGCGAGUGGAAUUCCCGGUGUAGCGGUGAAAUGCGCAGAUAUCGGGAGGAACACCAAUUGCGAAGGCAGCUCGCUGGGACGUCACUGACGCUGAGACGCGAAAGCGUGGGGAGCAAACAGG
rnacentral:rRNA from 1 species